AAGUCGUAACAAGGUUUCCGUAGGUGAACCUGCGGAAGGAUCAUUACUGAGUGGCUGUAUUCGCGAUUCUCUUCGGAGAGGCGAAGCUACCCGACCUGAUGUCAUUCUAUCCGAGGGCGCGUCCGCAUGAGACAGCGGUUUGACGUUGGAGGUACCCGGACGAGGCGCUUGUCUCGAAGGGGGAAGCUCCGGGUCGGGCCGUGACGCGCCUCUCGGCACAACUUUCCGCGGAAGUGGUAGGCGUUGACCUGCCCGCCGCGGGCCGUAUUUUGUACAAGUCUUGAAGAAAACCUGAAGUCUGAAGAUCAAAACAAAAUGAAAAGCAAAACUUUCAACAACGGAUCUCUUGGCUCUG
rnacentral:misc_RNA from 1 species